rnacentral:rRNA from 1 species
UACAGAGGGGGCAAGCGUUGUUCGGAAUUACUGGGCGUAAAGGGCGCGUAGGCGGCCUUCUAAGUCGAACGUGAAAUCCCCGGGCUCAACCCGGGAACUGCGUCCGAUACUGGAGUACUAGAGUUCGGGAGAGGAUGGUGGAAUUCCCAGUGUAGAGGUGAAAUUCGUAGAUAUUGGGAAGAACACCGAUGGCGAAGGCAGCCAUCUGGACCGACACUGACGCUGAGGCGCGAAAGCGUGGGGAGCAAACAGG